CGCGAGGCAACGGGAGAGACAUCUCUCUCAGUCCGACAUCGUCCCGGGGGUCAUCCCUUCACCUGUCCCUUCCUCAGGCGUCCCGGGGCCCGCGGGCCGUCCCCUCUCCAGGGAGUCGAUCCUUCUUCCCCUGAGGCGGCCGGGUUACCCCCCCCCCCCCAGACGGCGCCCUGCCUUGAGGGAGUCCUGCUCCUCGCUACCCCUUCCUGGCCUCGGCCUCCCACAAUGCCGGGCGGGCGCCCGCCCCUCGCCCCUCGCCCUUUGCUCGCUAGCCCCCCGGGACACGUGGCCCGGCCCCUUUCCCGUGGGUGCUCGCUUUUCUCUGGCGUCCCGACUCUUUGGGACCCCGGAGCGCCCGAGCCUCCACGCCCCCUGGUCCCCGCCGUUCCGGAAGAGAACCUGAGUUGUCCCAGAGGACAGCCUUUGGAGAGCUGCCCUGUCUGGGGACUGGCCCCUCCCCGGGCGCAGAGAAGCGCCCCCCCCACUCCCAAGUGACCUUGUGUCCCCGAGCACCGGCCGCCUCCCCUGACCCUCCCGGCGCCUCUCCACUCGAACCCCCAGCCCCAGGCACUCCUGGCUCGGUCCAGGCUAGCUUGUCCCCUCCCCAUGCACCAGCCUGCCCUCGGGGGCGUCGCUCCCUCGUCUUGGGGGCUCCUGCUGGGGAGCCGGCUCACGGGCUGUCCC
rnacentral:lncRNA from 1 species